CUACGGGAGGCAGCAGUGGGGAAUUUUCCGCAAUGGGCGAAAGCCUGACGGAGCAAUACCGCGUGAGGGAAGACUGCCUAUGGGUUGUAAACCUCUUUUUUCAGGGAGGAAUCAAUGACGUGUACCUGAAGAAUAAGCAUCGGCUAACUCCGUGCCAGCAGCCGCGGUAAGACGGAGGAUGCAAGUGUUAUCCGGAAUCACUGGGCGUAAAGCGUCUGUAGGUGGUUUAAUAAGUCAACUGUUAAAUCUUGAGGCUCAACUUCAAAAUCGCAGUCGAAACUAUUAGACUAGAGUAUAGUAGAGGUAAAGGGAAUUUCCAGUGGAGCGGUGAAAUGCGUAGAUAUUGGAAAGAACACCGAUGGCGAAAGCACUUUACUGGGCUAUUACUAACACUCAGAGACGAAAGCUAGGGUAGCAAAUGGGAUUAGAUACCCCAGUAGUCCUAGCCGUAAACAAUGGAUACUAGAUGUUGAACAGAUCGACCUGUGCAGUAUCAAAGCUAACGCGUUAAGUACCCCGCCUGGGAAGUAUGCUCGCAAGAGUGAAACUCAAAG
rnacentral:rRNA from 1 species